GACAGAGGUGGCGAGCGUUGUUCGGAUUUACUGGGCGUAAAGCGUGGGUAGGCGGUUCGGUCAGUCAGAUGUGAAAUCCCAUCGCUCAACGAUGGAACGGCGUCUGAUACUGCCGGACUUGAGUGCAGGAGAGGAGGGUGGAAUUUCCGGUGUAGCGGUGAAAUGCGUAGAGAUCGGAAGGAACACCAGUGGCGAAGGCGGCCCUCUGGACUGCAACUGACGCUGAGACACGAAAGCGUGGGGAGCAAAC
rnacentral:rRNA from 1 species